rnacentral:snRNA from 1 species
GUGCUCACUUUGGCAGCACAUAUACUAAAAUUGGAACAAUACAGAAAAGAUCAGCAUGGCCCCUGCACAAAGAUGACACACAAAUUUGUGAAGUGUUCCAUAUUUUU